rnacentral:misc_RNA from 1 species
GUGAGUCAUCGAAUCUUUGAACGCACAUUGCGCUCGCUGGUAUUCCGGCGAGCAUGCCUGUUUGAGAAUCGAUAAACCAAAUCACCUUUGUUGGUGGACUUGAACUUUCCUGGACGCGUUAACUCGCGACCUAGUUUGUUUGAAAUAGAAUGCUGGUCUUGGCUAUAUCUCGCUUUGACAGACUUACGCGUCUUAAUGGAGUAAUCCUCAUUCGCUAACACGUCUGACUUUGCAUAUGAAAUAUACUGAAGCUAGUCUCGCACCUAGUGUUGAGCAUGAAGGGCCAGUUCAUUUUGAGCU